rnacentral:rRNA from 1 species
UGCAGUCGAACGGCAGCACGGGGGCAACCCUGGUGGCGAGUGGCGAACGGGUGAGUAAUGAAUCGGAACGUGCCCGGUAGUGGGGGAUAACCAGUCGAAAGACUGGCUAAUACCGCAUACGACCUACGGGUGAAAGCGGGGGACCGCAAGGCCUCGCGCUAUCGGAGCGGCCGAUUUCCGAUUAGCUAGUUGGUGGGGUAAAGGCUCACCAAGGCGAUGAUCGGUAGCUGGUCUGAGAGGACGGCCAGCCACACUGGGACUGAGACACGGCCCAGACUCCUACGGGAGGCAGCAGUGGGGAAUUUUGGACAAUGGGCGAAAGCCUGAUCCAGCCAUGCCGCGUGCGGGAAGAAGGCCUUCGGGUUGUAAACCGCUUUUGGCAGGAACGAAACAGCGCGGGCUAAUACCUCGCGUUAAUGACGGUACCUGCAGAAUAAGCACCGGCUAACUACGUGCCGGCAGCCGCGGUAAUACGUAGGGUGCGAGCGUUAAUCGGAAUUACUGGGCGUAAAGCGUACGCAGGCGGCUUGGUAAGACAGAUGUGAAAUCCCCGGGCUUAACCUGGGAACUGCAUUUGUGACUGCCAGGCUCGAGUCUGUCAGAGGGGGGUGGAAUUCCACGUGUAGCAGUGAAAUGCGUAGAGAUGUGGAGGAACACCGAUGGCGAAGGCAGCCCCCUGGGAUGAGACUGACGCUCAUGUACGAAAGCGUGGGGAGCAAACAGGAUUAGAUACCCUGUAGUCCACGCCCUAAACGAUGUCGACUAGUUGUCGGGAAUUCAUUUUCUCGGUAACGCAGCUAACGCGUGAAGUCGA